AAAUGUCUCUGAAGUCCUCUAGUCGCAGGCUGUGGUACAGUCUUUAACCCCGCCCAUUCCCAUGUUAGUGAACAGAGAAGGAGCCAAACCUAAGUUUUAAGUUACUAAAUAUUUUUGGGAAUAUUGUUCUGUCAAGUUCAGUUGACCUUGAUAUCAGCCCGAAUAUGUUUCUUAAUGAUAAAUGCAUUUCAUAGGACUUAUCUGGCAUGAUUAAUGAGGUGACUGAUGGUUUUGGACAUGAUAGUCGAGCCUCAGGAACGUACACACACUUUCCAACACACAGCUAAAGCUCUUGACAUUUCUGCAGCAAAGCAUUGUCUUGUUCUGUUGUUGCAACAGACCCUCGGCGGGGAGUUCUUUGCAAUUUUUCCAUUCUUCGCCUAUGAUUACAAAAAUUAUGAAAAGAGUUUCAUGCAGAUCAAUGAUGGGUUAAAGUCUCCAUUGGUCCACUGGUUCUAAACCAACAGCUCUUCUCUAGCCAAUCACUAAGCUGGGAAUAGAUGACAUCAUGGACGUGCGACUCUGCCUUUUCAUGUUCGAAUGUGUCAUGAGCAGGUGAGCAUAGACAAUCCCACACAGCCGCAGGUAAUCGAUAUAAAUUUAUCUUGGAAAUGUAAUUGAUAUGUUACAAUUUGCUGCCUUGAUUGGGCAAGGAAUUAUUUGUGUUUCUGUGUUUGAAUGAUUUCAAUUAACAUUUUGUGUAGAACUCCAUAGGUUUCUUUUAGAGAGACUCCUUAUCGACACAUAUGACAUGAAAUUGAGGCAGUGCAGGGCCAGCUGUUAUAAAUGGGAUAGAGAAGUAAAGGAAAAGGAAAAAAUGCAUAAAACAUAAGGUAAAAUUCUUGGCAUCCACAUUGUCUUAUUUGCUGUUAACAGAUGGCUUAAAGUAGAUUAUUUUUCACUUUUGUGGUUCCAAGAACAACAGCACCACCAACAGUCAGAAGUAAACAAAGAAAAAAAAAAUAGUAUGAAGAAUCAAGGCUGUGGCUGAUUUCUUUCUAGG